UACGGGGGGGGCAAGCGUUGUUCGGAAUUACUGGGCGUAAAGGGCUCGUAGGCGGCCAACUAAGUCAUACGUGAAAUCCCUCGGCUUAACCGGGGAACUGCGUCUGAUACUGGAUGGCUUGAGAUUGGGAGAGGGAUGCGGAAUUCCAGGUGUAGCGGUGAAAUGCGUAGAUAUCAGGAAGAACACCGAUGGCGAGAGCAGCUCUCUGGGACGGUACUGACGCUGAGGCGCGAAAGCGUGGGGAGCGAACAGG
rnacentral:rRNA from 1 species